UACAGAGGUCCCGAGCGUUGUUCGGAUUCAUUGGGCGUAAAGGGUGCGUAGGCGGCGCAACAAGUCACUUGUGAAAUCUCCGGGCUUAACCCGGAGCGGUCAAGUGAUACUGUCGUGCUAGAGUGCGGAAGGGGCUACUGGAAUUCUCGGUGUAGCGGUGAAAUGCGUAGAUAUCGAGAGGAACACCUGCGGCGAAGGCGGGUAGCUGGGCCGACACUGACGCUGAUGCGCGAAAGCCAGGGGAGCGAACGGG
rnacentral:rRNA from 1 species